CCUACUGGGAGCAGCAGUAGGGAAUCUUCCACAAUGGACGAAAGUCUGAUGGAGCAACGCCGCGUGAGUGAAGACGGGUUUCGGCUCGUAAAGCUCUGUUGGUAGUGAAGAAAGGUAGAGGUAGUAACUGGCCUGUAUUUGACGGUAAUUACUUAGAAAGUCACGGCUAACUACGUGCAAGCAGCGGCGGUAAUACGGAGGUGGCAAGCGUUGUCCGGAGUUAUUGGGCGUAAAGCGAGUGCCGGCGGUGCAAUAAGUCUGAUGUGAAAGCCUUCGGCUCAACCGGAGAAUUGCAUCAGAAACGGUUGAACUUGAGUGCAGAAGAGGAGAGUGGAACUCCAUGUGUAGCGGUGGAAUGCGUAGAUAUAUGGAAGAACACCAGUGGCGAAGGCGGCUCUCUGGUCUGCCACUGACGCUGAGGCUCGAAAGCAUGGGUAGCGAACAGGAUUAGAUACCCGGGUAGUC
rnacentral:rRNA from 1 species